CUCUUAUCGAGAGUGGUGGAGGGACUGGCCCGAUGAAACCCGGCAGCCGGCACAUUAAGUGCGUCUGGUGCUAAAUCCUGCAGGUGAAACCUGAGAGAUGAGAG
rnacentral:ncRNA from 2 species